UUUAAUGAGGUCUUUUUCUCUCUUUUGUUGUUUUUUUGCCCUUUUUUUCCAGGGUCCUGCAGGAAGACCUGGACUUCCGGGAGCCCCAGGAGAUGCUGGAAUGUCUAUUAUUGGUCCUCGUGGUCCCCCGGGUCAGCCUGGCACAAGAGGCUUUCCUGGAUUUCCGGUGAGUGGGGAUGGUUUCUGUAAAUGCCCUUGCCCAUCCAUUUCAGCUGGGCCUCAUUGCACUGAGUCGUCCCUUACAUGGGCAUUCCCCUCUGAAGCAACAGUGGCUCUUUCGUGGAGUGCUCUACUCCUCAGCCCUUCCGAAAAUGAAGCCAGACUUGGGAUAGCUCAGAGCUGGGACUGCUUCUAGUUGUUAGAGAGAGAGAGAAAAGGGAAAG
ensembl:lncRNA